rnacentral:rRNA from 1 species
UACGUAGGGGCCUAGCGUUGUCCGGAUUUAUUGGGCGUAAAGAGCUCGUAGGCGGUUCGGUAAGUCAGGUGUGAAAUCUCCACGCUCAACGUGGAGGCGCCACCUGAAACUGCCGUGACUCGAGUCCGGUAGGGGAGACUGGAAUUCCUGGUGUAGCGGUGAAAUGCGCAGAUAUCAGGAGGAACACCGAUGGCGAAGGCAGGUCUCUGGGCAUUAACUGACGCUGAGGAGCGAAAGCAUGGGGAGCGAACAGG